AGUGAACGCUGGCGGUAGGCCUAACACAUGCAAGUCGAACGGCAGCACAGUAAGAGCUUGCUCUUACGGGUGGCGAGUGGCGGACGGGUGAGGAAUACAUCGGAAUCUACUUUUUCGUGGGGGAUAACGUAGGGAAACUUACGCUAAUACCGCAUACGACUUACGGGUGAAAGCAGGGGAUCUUCGGACCUUGCGCGAUUGAAUGAGCCGAUGUCGGAUUAGCUAGUUGGCGGGGUAAAGGCCCACCAAGGCGACGAUCCGUAGCUGGUCUGAGAGGGUGAUCAGCCACACUGGAACUGAGACACGGUCCAGACUCCUACGGGAGGCAGCAGUGGGGAAUAUUGGACAAUGGGCGCAAGCCUGAUCCAGCCAUACCGCGUGGGUGAAGAAGGCCUUCGGGUUGUAAAGCCCUUUUGUUGGGAAAGAAAAGCAGCAGGUUAAUACCCCGCUGUUCUGACGGUACCCAAAGAAUAAGCACCGGCUAACUUCGU
rnacentral:rRNA from 1 species